GCAAAUUGGAUCCGUAACUUCGGAAUAAGGAUUGGCUCUGAGGAGCGGGGCGUGUCGGGCUUGGUCGGGAAGCGGGUCUGGCUGACGUGCCGGGCCUGGGCGAGGUGAACGCUCGGCGUUCUCGCGCCGAACACGGGAUCCGAGCUCGGUCCCGUGCCUUGGCCUCCCGCGGAUCUUCCUUGCUGCGAGGCUUCCGUGGCGGCGCGAGCCGUCGCGGUCGUCCUCUUCGGCCGCCAUUCAACGCUCAGCUCAGAACUGGCACGGACUAGGGGAAUCCGACUGUCUAAUUAAAACAAAGCAUUGCGAUGGCCCUCGCGGGUGUUGACGCAAUGUGAUUUCUGCCCAGUGCUCUGAAUGUCAACGUGAAGAAAUUCAAGCAAGCGCGGGUAAACGGCGGGAGUAACUAUGACUCUCUUAAGGGUCAGCCUCCUCAGCUCUUGAUACCCACUCAGUGGAUUCUUUGGGCUGGGGACCAAGGCCCCCUUAUAGAGAGUCGUAGUUGGGACACGAUGCGCAACGUAUAGCCUCUCGUGUCCAAGUCACACAGCUACCUCCUCGUGGUACUCCUGGUAACGUCUUCGGACGGCCAAAUGCUGCUGUGGCGAUCCGGGUCAUUGGGGUUGCCAGCCCCUCUGGCUUUAUUAGCUGGCCCAACUAAAAGAAACCCGCCUCGGAUAAUCAUCAGUAACCCCGGGCCCUCUGGCUCCAGGGGUCCAGCUUCAGGGAAUAGUACGCCACCCUCUACAUCGCCUGUUGGUCCGGACGAGGUCCACGCCUGCGAGUUUCCGGGCUGUAACCGAGCCUUCAGCUCUAAGACCGGGAAAGGAGUUCAUCAGCGGCGAGCGCAUCCUGAUUGGUACGACGCGAGACAAAAUGUGGUUGCUAAGAAGGCUAGAUGGACGGAUGAAGAAACGCGAAUGCUAGCGAGGAGGGAGAUCGAACUGUCACGUGCCGGUGAAAAAUUCAUUAACCAGGCACUGUUGACUGAUUUUCCAGAUAGAUCCCUAGAGAGUAUCAAGUCCAGAAGGCGCCAAAAUAGCUAUCGAGCUGUUCUUCAAGAGAUGCUGGCAUUGGGUGAUGUAGGUGAGGCUCGAACACCAGAGGUCACUACACCCGAAACGGAUCUUCUGAGUGGUUCUACGCCAUUAAACAUUGCAUAUAAAGAGGCUAUCAAGGAACACGUUAAGAGCCUUCCUGCGCUUUCCGAGCGAACCUUUCAAUCACGCAAAUUACAAAGCAUCUGCGAUUCGCUGUCCACAAGAUCUUCCUCGGACGUGUAUGACGAGCUGGCGCUGUAUCUCAGAGAAGUCUUCCCGGUUGACAGGAGAGUAAAGCGGAAUAGGGCAGGAAAUGUAAAUCAGGACGAGGUUCUAUCUAGGAAGCAAAAGAGACGAAGUGACUACGCCCGCACCCAGGAUCUUUGGCGGAAGAAUCGUUUCCGGUGUUUAAGAAUGAUUCUUGAUGACGUCUCAAAUGUAAGUAUCCCGCCUAAAGAACAAAUGGUUCCGUUUUGGAAGACUGUAAUGUCUGGCGACAGUAACUCAUCCCCGGGGGAUGAAGCGCCUAGUCAGUCUAUGGAUCAGCUCUGGGCACCUAUAACGCUUAGCGAAGUUCGAAGGGGACUACCGGCUAAUACAACCGCAGCAGGACCGGAUGGAUUGAGUGCGAGACUCUUGAGGAAGGUCCCACAUGGGAUCAUAAUUAGGAUACUUAACAUUAUCCUGUGGUGUGGGCGAGCUCCUACCCACUUAUUAGAAUCUCUAACAACCCUGAUUCCAAAGAAAUCGAACGCGCACCUUCCCUCUGAUUUUAGGCCCAUCACGGUGUCGUCUGUAAUUAUCAGGACCUUGCACAAGAUACUAGCAACCAGACUUGCGAGCAAUGUUGAACUCGAUCAGAGGCAGAGGGCGUUUAGACCUACGGACGGCUGCUCGGACAACGUUUUCCUGCUUGAUAUGCUGUUCCGGCAGAAACACAAGCAGCACAAGCCCUUGUUCCUGGCCUCGCUGGACAUGGCAAAGGCUUUCGACUCUGUUUCGCACCAAACGAUAUGCGAGACAUUGAAGGUGAAAGGUGUCCCUCUGCCCAUGAUUGACUACAUCAUGGACGUAUAUGCGAGAAGUACCACGUCGCUCUGUUGCAAUUCUUGGACAUCGGAGAAAAUCAGGCCGGCGUGUGGGGUCAAGCAGGGAGAUCCUAUGUCCCCAGUGAUAUUUAAUAUGAUAAUUGAUCGUCUCUUGAAAAUAUUGCCCGAUGAAAUCGGUGCACGAAUAGAUGGUAUCACUGUAAAUGCAGCCGCAUUUGCCGAUGACAUUCUCCUGUUUGCCUCCACACCAACGGGUCUGCAGAAGCUGUUGGAUCUGUCUACCGACUUCCUGGGUAAGUGUGGCCUCCAAGUCAAUGUGGCCAAGUGCAUGACUGUAGCACUAAGAAAUGUCCCUCGCGAGAAGAAGACGGUGGUGGAUAAGGAGACCGUCUUUCGCUGUGGAGGCAGAGUUCU